rnacentral:rRNA from 1 species
AGAGCGAACGCUGGCGGCAGGCCUAACACAUGCAAGUCGAGCGCCCCGCAAGGGGAGCGGCAGACGGGAGAGUAACACGUGGGAACGUACCCUUCAGUUCGGAACAACCCAGGGAAACUUGGGCUAAUACCGAAUACGUCCGUAAGGAGAAAGAUUUAUCGCUGAAGGAUCGGCCCGCGUCUGAUUAGCUAGUUGGUGAGGUAACGGCUCACCAAGGCGACGAUCAGUAGCUGGUCUGAGAGGAUGAUCAGCCUCACUGGGACUGAGACACGGCCCAGACUCCUACGGGAGGCAGCAGUGGGAAUAUGGACAAUGGCGCAAGCCUGAUCCAGCCAUGCCGCGUGGGUGAUGAAGGCCCUAGGGUUGUAAAGCCCUUUCGGCGGGAAGAUAAUGACGGUACCGCAGAAGAAGCCCGGACUAACUUCGUGCCAGCAGCCGC